CUUAUGACCUGGGCUACACACGUGUACAAUGGACAGAACAAAGGGUGGAGACCGCAAGGUUUAGCCAAUCCCACAAAUCUGUUUUCAGUUCGGAUCGCAGUCUGCAACUCGACUGCGUGAAGCUGGAAUCGCUAGUAAUCGCGGAUCAGCAUGCCGCGGUGAAUACGUUCCCGGGCCUUGUACACACCGCCCGUCACACCACGAGAGUUUGCAACACCCGAAGUCGGUGAGGUAACCUUUAUGGAGCCAGCCGCCGAAGGUGGGGCAGAUGAUUGGGUG
rnacentral:rRNA from 1 species